rnacentral:rRNA from 1 species
UUAAAUUGAAGAGUUUGAUCAUGGCUCAGAUUGAACGCUGGCGGCAGGCCUAACACAUGCAAGUCGAACGGUAACAGGAAUCAGCUUGCUGAUUCGCUGACGAGUGGCGGACGGGUGAGUAAUGUCUGGGAAACUGCCUGAUGGAGGGGGAUAACUACUGGAAACGGUAGCUAAUACCGCAUAACGUCGCAAGACCAAAGAGGGGGACCUUCGGGCCUCUUGCCAUCGGAUGUGCCCAGAUGGGAUUAGCUAGUAGGUGGGGUAACGGCUCACCAAGGCGACGAUCCCUAGCUGGUCUGAGAGGAUGACCAGCCACACUGGAACUGAGACACGGUCCAGACUCCUACGGGAGGCAGCAGUGGGGAAUAUUGCA